AACGAACGCUGGCGGCAGGCUUAACACAUGCAAGUCGAACGCAUCCUUCGGGGUGAGUGGCAGACGGGUAAGUAACGCGUGGGAGCGUGCCCUUCAGUUCGGGAUAACCCAGGGAAACUUGGGCUAAUACCGGAUACGUGCGAGAGCAGAAAGAUUUAUCGCUGAAGGAUCGGCCCGCGUCUGAUUAGCUGGUUGGUGGGGUAAUGGCCCACCAAGGCGACGAUCAGUAGCUGGUCUGAGAGGAUGAUCAGCCACAUUGGGACUGAGACACGGCCCAAACUCCUACGGGAGGCAGCAGUGGGGAAUAUUGGACAAUGGGCGCAAGCCUGAUCCAGCCAUGCCGCGUGAGAGAUGAAGGCCUUAGGGUUGUAAAGCUCUUUCGUCCGGGACGAUAAUGACGGUACCGGAAGAAGAAGCCCCGGCUAACUUCGUGCCAGCCGCCGCCGUAAGAC
rnacentral:rRNA from 1 species